rnacentral:rRNA from 1 species
GACGAACGCUGGCGGCGUGCUUAACACAUGCAAGUCGAACGGAAAGGCCCCUUUGGGGGUACUCGAGUGGCGAACGGGUGAGUAACACGUGAGUAACCUGCCCUUGACUUCGGGAUAACUUCAGGAAACUGGGGCUAAUACCGGAUAGGAAUCCUUGCUGCAUGGUGGGGGUUGGAAAGCUUCGGCGGUUUUGGAUGGACUCGCGGCUUAUCAGCUUGUUGGUGGGGUAGUGGCUUACCAAGGCUUUGACGGGUAGCCGGCCUGAGAGGGCGACCGGCCACAUUGGGACUGGGAUACGGCCCAGACUCCUACGGGAGGCAGCAGUGGGGAAUAUUGCACAAUGGGCGGGAGCCUGAUGCAGCAACGCCGCGGGCGGGAUGACGGCCUUCGGGUUGUAAACCGCUUUCAGCAGGGGCGAAGCUGGUGGUGACGGUACCUGCAGAAGAAGCACCGGCUAACUACGUG